GGGGCUGCAAUCAUGAGAAAUCUCCUAGCUACCAACUGAGCUGGAACAAGGGCUGUACCAGAGGAAAGGAUUGUGCCCAGACUAGGAAGGCAUCCCGUCUGUGUUAGAAGCUUAUUGAAACAUCUCUGAGGAGUGUCCAUGCGUUGGGACCCUGACAGACACAUUCCUCAGGGUUACCAGCUGUGUGACACAGACAAACCAGCUCAGAUCAUGACAAUAGGGCAAUUCACUUGUGUAUGAAUACCAAAGAAGGGUUAAGUGUAUCAAUAUGUAUUCAGAACAAUUCACUUAUGCUGAUAGAAAUCAAGAGGUUGAUUGUAUUGUUUCCAUCUGUCUGUAUCCUGUACUUAAUUAGUCUUCGAUUGAAAUGUAUGUUAGUGUUUAAAUGUGAAUUGACUUGAUGUGUAAAGCUGCAUGAAAACCAAUGAAGAAUUGUUUCUGGCUAUCACAUUGUGUUUACAUUAUGUAUAUCCAUUGGAGACUGGAGCCUUGGAAAUGUAAAUGAAGAAACAAGUCGACUUCAAAGCGUUGGUCUUUAUGUGUUCAACAAUGGUAAAUCUAGGGACCUGUGCUCUGAUGGAAAAGCUUGCCAGACUGUUUUCAACUAUAAGAAGGAACGCUGGGAAUGAUUCUGCAGCUCUGAUCUAUUUGGAUGCUGUCGGGAGGCAUUCCAGAUACAAGACAGAGGUCCCCCAAGCUAUUUUGGGCAACCCUGAAUGACUUAUGGGAAACUAGUAGAUACCACAUCACUGCUAUCAUUUGAACUUACAAACUCUGACUCACCUGUUAUGUAUUUCACCUGCUUUAACCUCUCAAUAACCCCCAUUUCUUUUUCUUAGCUAAUAAAUCUUUAGUUAGUUUA